rnacentral:rRNA from 1 species
UACGAAGGGGACUAGCGUUGUUCGGAAUCACUGGGCGUAAAGCGCACGUAGGCGGAUAUGUCAGUCAGGGGUGAAAUCCCGGGGCUCAACCUCGGAACUGCCUUUGAUACAGCAUAUCUUGAGUCCGAUAGAGGUGGGUGGAAUUCCUAGUGUAGAGGUGAAAUUCGUAGAUAUUAGGAAGAACACCGGUGGCGAAGGCGGCCCACUGGAUCGGUACUGACGCUGAGGUGCGAAAGCGUGGGGAGGCGAACAGG